CCGCCCGUACCGUAAACCGACACAGGUAUGCGGGGAGAGAAUCCUAAGGUGCGCGGGAGAACCCUCGUUAAGGAACUCGGCAAAAUGUACCCGUAACUUCGGGAUAAGGGUAGCCGCUGUUGUGAAGUCUGAACAGACGGAGCAUGAGGCGGUCGCAGAGAAGAGGCCCAAGCGACUGUUUACCACAAACACAGGUGCCUGCUAAAGAGAAAUCUGACGUAUAGGUGCUGACACCUGCCCAGUGCCGGAAGGUUAAGGAAGGAUGUCCGGAGCAAUCCAAAGCAUUCGACCGAAGCCCCGGUGAACGGCGGCCGUAACUAUAACGGUCCUAAGGUAGCGAAAUUCCUUGUCGGGUAAGUUCCGACCCGCACGAAAGGUGUAACGAUUUGGGCACUGUCUCAACGAGGGACCCGGUGAAAUUGAAGUACCUGUGAAGAUGCAGGUUACCCGCGACUGGACAGAAAGACCCCAUGGAGCUUUACUGUAACCUGACAUUGGGUUCUGAUACAUCACGUACAGGAUAGGUGGGAGGCAUGGAAGCGAGGACGCUAGUCUUCGUGGAGCCGCCGUUGGGAUACCACCCUUGAUGUAUCGGAAUUCUAACCGUAGGAGUAACGAAACUCGGGACAGUGUCAGGCGGGCAGUUUGACUGGGGCGGUCGCCUCCCAAAGAGUAACGGAGGCGCCCAAAGGUUCCCUCAGCGCGGCCGGAAAUCGCGCGAAGAGUGUAAAGGCAGAAGGGAGCUUGACUGAGAGCCAAACACGGCGAUCAGGUACGAAAGUAGGGCUUAGUGAUCCGGUGGCAUCCAAGUGGAAGGGCCAUCGCUCAACGGAUAAAAGCUACCCUGGGGAUAACAGGCUAAUCUCUCCCAAGAGUCCAUAUCGACGGGGAGGUUUGGCACCUCGAUGUCGGCUCAUCACAUCCUGGGGCUGAAGUCGGUCCCAAGGGUUGGGCUGUUCGCCCAUUAAAGUGGUACGUGAGCUGGGUUCAGAACGUCGUGAGACAGUUCGGUCCCUAUCCAUCGCGGGCGCAAGAGAUUUGAAGGGGGCUGCUCCUAGUACGAGAGGACCGGAGUGGACGAACCAAUGGUGUACCAAUUAUCUCGCCAGAGGUAUAGUUGGGUAGCUACGUUCGGAAAGGAUAAACGCUGAAAGCAUCUAAGCGUGAAACCAGCCUUAAGAUGAGAUCUCUCAUAGAGUAAUCUAGUAAGACACCUUGGAGAAGACGAGGUUGAUAGGUCGGGAGUGUAAGUACAGUAAUGUAUUCAGCGGACCGAUACUAAUAUGUCGAGGGCUUGACUU
rnacentral:rRNA from 1 species